ACAGCAGUCGCCACGGUAAUACGUAGGUGGCAAGCGUUGUCCGGAAUUAUUGGGCGUAAAGGGCUCGCAGGCAGUUCCUUAAGUCUGAUGUGAAAGCCCCCGGCUCAACCGGGGAGGGUCAUUGGAAACUGGGAAACUUGAGUGCAGAAGAGGAGAGUGGAAUUCCACGUGUAGCGGUGAAAUGCGUAGAGAUGUGGAGGAACACCAGUGGCGAAGGCGACUCUCUGGUCUGUAACUGACGCUGAGGAGCGAAAGCGUGGGGAGCGAACAGGAUUAGAUACCCCAGUAGUCCCUGUCUCUUAUAC
rnacentral:rRNA from 1 species